rnacentral:rRNA from 1 species
CACAGGUGCUGCAUGGCUGUCGUCAGCUCGUGUCGUGAGAUGUUCGGUUAAGUCCGCUAACGAGCGCAACCCUCGCUGUGUGUUAUAUGUGUCACACGGGGACUGCCGGUCUUAAGCCGGAGGAAGGUGGGGAUGAUGUCAAGUCAGCAUGGCCUUUAUAUCCUGGGCUACACACACGCUACAAUGGCCAACACAAUAGGUUGCUAAGCCGCGAGGUGGCGCCAAUCCAUAAAGUUGGUCUCAGUUCAGAUUGUAGGCUGCAACCCGCCUGCAUGAAGAUGGAGUUGCUAGUAACCGCAGGUCAGCUAUACUGCGGUGAAUACGUUCCCGGGGCUU